CUUUUUCUAGUCUUGUUGUACUAGUUUUAGUCCCUGAUGUUUGUUGCAGGUUCAGAAGUUUAAAUUUGCAGUAGCUACAUUUCAACUUUGGAGAGAAAAUUAUCCGUCAUUACACAUGACAAGCAGUUUUGAAUUGGAAACAGACUGAAUAAAAGUUAUAACUGGAAACUAUGUGACUCCACUUGUCUUACUGAGUGGUGUGUCUCCAUACAUUUCAGUUUUACUAUGUUCUGCUGCAUUGUAUUAGUUGGAUCACUAGAGUUUGGGCCAAAGUGUAAAAAAAAAAAAAAAAAAAAAAAAAA